rnacentral:rRNA from 2 species
CAGCCGCCGCGGUAAAACCAGCACCUCAAGUGGUCAGGAUGAUUAUUGGGCCUAAAGCAUCCGUAGCCUGCUUUGUUAGUUUUCGGUUAAAUCCAUAUGCUCAACGUAUGGGCCGCCGGGAAUACUGCAAAGCUAGGGAGUGGGAGAGGUAGACGGUACUCGGUAGGAAGGGGUAAAAUCCUUUGAUCUAUUGAUGACCACCUGUGGCGAAGGCGGUCUACCAGAACACGUCCGACGGUGAGGGAUGAAAGCUGGGGGAGCAGACCGGAUUAGAUACCCGGGUAGUCCCAGCUGUAAACUAUGCAAACUCGGUGAUGCAUUGGCUUGAUGCCAAUGCAGUGCCGCAGGGAAGCCGUUAAGUUUGCCGCCUGGGAAGUACGUACGCAAGUAUGAAACUUAAAGGAAUUGGCGGGGGAGCAC